GGUGAUAUAACUCAGUGGUACUGCUCUUGCCCAGCAUGCAAAAGCCCUGGGUUUGGGUUUGAUCCCCAACACCACCA
rnacentral:tRNA from 1 species